rnacentral:rRNA from 1 species
UACGUAGGGCGCGAGCGUUGUCCGGAAUUAUUGGGAGUAAAGAGCUCGUAGGCGGCUUGUCACGUCGGUUGUGAAAGCCCGGGGCUUAACCCCGGGUCUGCAGUCGAUACGGGCAGGCUAGAGUUCGGUAGGGGAGAUCGGAAUUCCUGGUGUAGCGGUGAAAUGCGCAGAUAUCAGGAGGAACACCGGUGGCGAAGGCGGAUCUCUGGGCCGAUACUGACGCUGAGGAGCGAAAGCGUGGGGAGCGAACAGG